UACAGAGGGGGCAAGCGUUGUUCGGAAUUACUGGGCGUAAAGGGCGCGUAGGCGGCCUUCUAAGUCGAACGUGAAAUCCCCGGGCUCAACCUGGGAACUGCAUUUGUGACUGCAUGGCUAGAGUACGGUAGAGGGGGAUGGAAUUCAGCGUGUAGCGGUGAAAUGCGUAGAGAUGUGGAGGAACACCGAUGGCGAAGGCAGCCUUCUGGGCCAACACUGACGCUCAUGCACGAAAGCGUGGGGAGCAAACAGG
rnacentral:rRNA from 1 species